GGCGGGUCCUGGCAGGACGAAUUCACCGCCACUGCCAGAACGAACUAUUCAGAUUCACGUGGAGCAAGGGGCUCAUGCAGAAGCAGUUCCCGGACCCGACACUCUGGGUAGACCACUAAACCCGGCCCCUAAAAGCAGAGGUGACCUUGCCCUCAUCGAGAGCGCACACAAGACGCCACUGUAAAAGGAUCACAGAUGGAGAGACAUUUUGCCACACGAUGAAUCACACUCCACAUCUCAUCCCCGAGCUUCAGCUGCAGGAC